rnacentral:rRNA from 1 species
AGCAUAUCAAUAAGCGGAGGAAAAGAAACCAACAGGGAUUCCCCUAGUAACGGCGAGUGAAGCGGGAACAGCUCAAAUUUGAAAUCUGGCCCUCGGGUCCGAGUUGUAAUUUGUAGAGGAUGCUUUUGGUGCGGUGCCUUCCGAGUUCCCUGGAACGGGACGCCUUAGAGGGUGAGAGCCCCGUACGGUUGGACGCCUAGCCUCUGUAAAGCUCCUUCGACGAGUCGAGUAGUUUGGGAAUGCUGCUCUAAAUGGGAGGUAUAUUUCUUCUAAAGCUAAAUACUGGCCAGAGACCGAUAGCGCACAAGUAGAGUGAUCGAAAGAUGAAAAGCACUUUGAAAAGAGGGUUAAAUAGCACGUGAAAUUGUUGAAAGGGAAGCGUUUAUCACCAGACUUUUUCUAGGGGGAUCAUCCGGUGUUCUCACCGGUGCACUUCCCCUAGUUGAGGCCAGCAUCGGUUUUCGGAGGGGGAUAAAAGUUUCGGGAAUGUGACUCCCCCGGGAGUGUUAUAGCCCGUUACAUAAUACCCUUCUGGGGACCGAGGUUCGCGCAUCUGCAAGGAUGCUGGCAUAAUGGUGAUCAACGACCCGU